AUUCAGCUGACGAAUUCCAAAUAGGAUAAAACGCGCGACCUGAAU
rfam:Schistosoma mattheei strain Denwood, Zambia genome assembly, scaffold: SMTD_contig0012595